GUGCAACCAAUGAUUUAGAUGGGUUUUAAACUACUACUAAUACUAAAAAGCAAUUACAGAAUGAUACUUUCUUAACUAAGGAAAAGAGAACUCAUGGGUAUAGGGAUUAGACCUUGGGUGAUCAAGUUUCGAACUAAGGAUGGCAAACGAUAAAUCAAACUAUCAACCUUAAGCUUAGACACAAUCUUAAACAAACUCUAUGUCUAGAUGAAUGUUCAUUUACUAACAUACCUCAAACAUCAAAUGUCUUUGGUUGAAUAAU
rnacentral:lncRNA from 1 species